CUGAGUGCCCAGGAUUUAUCCUGUGCUUUUCUCGAGAGCGAAAAUCUCGGGGAAUAAGUGGUGGGCAAGACUGGUGCCAGCCGCCGCGGUAACCCCAGCGCCACAAGUGGGAUCCACGUUUAUUGGGUCUAAAGCGUCCGUAGCCUGUUUGGAAAAUGCCCUGUGAAAUCGUCUUGCUCAACAAGACGGCGUGCAGGGUAGACUCCCAGACUAGAGACCAGGAGAGGUUGACGGUAUUCUUUGGGGAGCGGUAAAAUGUGAUAAUCCAAAGAGGACCACCAAUGGCGAAGGCAGUCAACCAGCAUGGUUCUGACGGUGAGGGACGAAAGCUAGGGGAGCGAUCCGGAUUAGAUACCCGAGUAGUCCUAGCUGUAAACGCUGUAGGCAAGAUGUUACGCAAUCUUCGGGAUUGUGUAGUGUCGCAACGAAGGUGUUAAGCCUACCACCUGGGAAUUACGGUCGCAAGGCUGAAACUUAAAGGAAUUGGCGGGGGAGCACUACAAGGGGUGCGGCGUGCGGUUUAAUCGAAUUCAACGCCGAGAAUCUCACCAGGGGCGACGGCAGUAUGAAGCACAGUCUAAUGGGCUUUGCUGACGAGCCGAGAGGUGGUGCAUGGCCGCCGUCAGCUCGUGUCGUGAGAUGUCCUGUCAAGUCAGGCAACGAGCGAGACCUGUAUUCAUACUUGCUCACGUGUCCGCAAGGAUGAGCGAGCACAGUAUGAAGACGCCC
rnacentral:rRNA from 1 species